rnacentral:rRNA from 1 species
UACGUAGGGGCCUAGCGUUGUCCGGAUUUAUUGGGCGUAAAGAGCUCGUAGGCGGUUUGGUAAGUCGGGUGUGAAAUCUCCACGCUCAACGUGGAGGGGCCACCCGAUACUGCCAUGACUGGAGUCCGGUAGGGGAGUGUGGAAUUCCCGGUGUAGCGGUGAAAUGCGCAGAUAUCGGGAGGAACACCAGUGGCGAAGGCGGCGAUCUGGGAAGAUACUGACGCUGAGGUGCGAAAGCGUGGGGAGCAAACAGG